ACUGUAGUAGCACAUCGUUUAAACAUUGUUAGCAUUCUUUGUUUCCAAAUGUUUUAGGUCAUAAAAAAAAUAAAUAAAGAAGGCUGCGCUCACCAGCAAUGAAGCACGAGGAGAACUUGAGGUUAAUUGGAGGGUGCUGCUCACCUGGAUUACACUGGAACACCCAUAAGAGGCUGGAAGCCCAUUCAAAACCCUGCAGUCACCCCAGGCUGCUUCUGCAAAGCCAAAGCCCGGUCGCGCCAUUCAAAAGGCCUGCCUGCCUGCCAGCCCAAAAGAGAGCGGGGUCCUGGGGGACGGGGCGGAUCGGCUUACCCUCCCCCGAAAACGGGAGAGGAGCACACAAAAGGGCCCGGGCCCCGCCAGGCAGAAACUCACGCUAACUGUAGGUGGCUUCUGCACAUUCCUCGGCAAAGACGCAAACCGGUUAUUCGCCCAAAAGAGAGAUGAACCAAACUGAACUGAACUGAACCUGUCCCCUUAGCCGCUAAUUUGACGGCUCGCAGAGAGACGGCCGCGGUGUCGAUAUCACGCACGGAAGCACAGCUUCAGUAAAGGCCCCCGCUUCCCUCAGCCGGCUGAAGCAGAGCCAGAACUGAUCUGCGAAGCGCAUAUUUUAUGGGCGCUUCGUAUUUUACACUCUGGACGUCCGUGCGUCGCUGCUGGUACCGGGAGCACAUAAAUCAGGCUGGAAUUACUCCUGGACCAGGAGGCGCAGCCAGGAGGAUGUUAGUCUGAGCAGACCCGCGAUGCUUCAGCGGCUGAACUCCUCCAGCAGCGUUACGGUGGGGGAGAGACACCACGGUCUGUGGGUGCCUGCUAAUAGCAGCGCUCUUAAAUAAAAAUGACUAACGGUUUGAGUUUAAGUGCCUUGUUUCUUCAUGCUUUGCGCGGUUGCAAAUUUGCCCCGCUCCCACGUGCAAUGAAUCUUGCACACAGUCCUAUCUUGUAAUGUCAUUAUGCAUGAGUGGCUUUGGCAAGGACCAACACAGAGAGUCCCGUUGGCUUAUUUUCCUCUUCAUAAAGCGUAUACGAAGAAUUAUACCAAGUAUACUGAGAAAUCCGUUUGUGUUCAGUGUUUUUUUGCGUAUUUAUUCCCCCGUGUCCCCCUGUGACCCAGAAGACUCAGCCGUCUUUUGAAGAUGAAAUCAUUUUAAACCUUUUCUCCCCACGUUGCCUCACCAUUGAUCAGUUUCUGUUAUGUUUGAGAUUUAUUUUAAUUCCCAGAGGAGAUCCUCCACUGUGAAGAGGUGUGUGACAGUAUGAGGUA